AUUAAACGCUGGCGGAAUGCUUUACACAUGCAAGUCGAACGGUAGAGGGGGCAACCCCUCGAGAGUGGCGAACGGGUGAGUAAUAUAUCGGAACGUGCCCAGUCGUGGGGGAUAACGUAGCGAAAGUUACGCUAAUACCGCAUACGAUCUAAGGAUGAAAGCGGGGGAUCGCAAGACCUCGCGCGAUUGGAGCGGCCGAUAUCAGAUUAGGUAGUUGGUGGGGUAAAGGCUCACCAAGCCAACGAUCUGUAGCUGGUCUGAGAGGACGACCAGCCACACUGGAACUGAGACACGGUCCAGACUCCUACGGGAGGCAGCAGUGGGGAAUUUUGGACAAUGGACGCAAGUCUGAUCCAGCCAUUCCGCGUGCAGGAUGAAGGCCCUCGGGUUGUAAACUGCUUUUGUACGGAACGAAAAGGUCUCUCUUAAUACGGGGGACUCAUGACGGUACCGUAAGAAUAAGCACCGGCUAACUACGUGCCAGCCGCCGCAGUAAAAC
rnacentral:rRNA from 1 species